ensembl:misc_RNA
GCCCCCCCUCCCCCCCCUACUCCCACCCCCCCGUCAAGCCUUUGGCAUCAUUAUCCUCAUCACUAAAUCCUACAGAGUACAGGGCGGAAAACGGUGCACAC